CUCAUAUAUUUAUAUUUUAAACGCACAAUAAAUUAAAUAUAAGCAAGAUAUUGUAUUUACAUUCGGCACAUUAUGCAGCAACCUGUAAAAAAAUAAGUAAAUCUCUUCCUAUAUUUUUAUACAUUACAUAAUAUGAAUAUUCUGGUCUAAUUCAGUCAUCUUGAUCUUUCUCUUCUCUACUUCUUCUUCUUCUCCUUCUAUUCUUUCUUCCAUUUUUCCCCACUUUCUUCCGUUUUGUUGUGACCAUGUCAGAACAGAUAUAUUCACGAAGAUUACAAAAUUCUAAACGAGAUGGUAAAGAUAAAUGUUCGAGUUCCAGAAGCUGGAGGUCACGUAGAUCAUUUAAUGGUGAUGGUGGUGGGGUUGGGGGCGGGAACGGGGAAGGUGACUCAGGGUUGCGUGGAUGAAUUUCUAUGCGCUCAUGGACUACAACUCUUGUUCUUGGAUUCCUUGGAAAUCUGGAACACAAUGCACCAAAGGCAAAUAUUAUUGGCCAAACUGAGAAUUUGUUAGGGUUGUUAGAGUCAUGAGACAGAAAGGCAUAAGUUAUGGUUGCAAAAACCCAUUGAAAGAUGCCACAGACUAAGCCAACAAUGUCUGGAAAUGUCCCCAGAGGCUUGUAAUUUAGAUUGCGGGAGUAAAACCAAGGUAAAUAACCUCUGAUCAUCCAUUUAACUCUUUCUCUUC
rnacentral:misc_RNA from 1 species